UACGUAGGGUGCAAGCGUUGUCCGGAAUUAUUGGGCGUAAAGAGCUUGUAGGCGGUUUGUCGCGUCUGCUGUGAAAUUUCGGGGCUCAACCCCGAACUUGCAGUGGGUACGGGCAGACUAGAGUGUGGUAGGGGAGGCUGGAAUUCCUGGUGUAGCGGUGAAAUGCGCAGAUAUCAGGAGGAACACCGAUGGCGAAGGCAGGUCUCUGGGCAUUAACUGACGCUGAGGAGCGAAAGCAUGGGGAGCGAACAGG
rnacentral:rRNA from 1 species